rnacentral:tRNA from 1 species
UUAAGAAAAUCUAAUCCAUAGUAUGUUACUGUUAAUAACAUUAAGAGGGCCUCUUAACACCUCUUCUUAAA